GACGAACGCUGGCGGCGUGUCUAAUACAUGCAAGUAGAACGCACAGUUUAUACCGUAGCUUGCUACACCAUAAACUGUGAGUUGCGAACGGGGGAGUAACGCGUAGGUAACCUGCCUGGUAGCGGGGGAUAACUAUUGGAAACGAUAGCUAAUACCGCAUAAUAUUGAUUAUUGCAUGAUAAUUGAUUGAAAGAUGCUAUUGCAUCACUACCAGAUGGACCUGCGUUGUAUUAGCUAGUAGGUGAGGUAACGGCUCACCUAGGCGACGAUACAUAGCCGACCUGCGAGGGUGAUCGGCCACACUGGGACUGAGACACGGCCCAGACUCCUACAGGAGGCAGCAGUAGGGAAUCUGCGGCAAUGGACGAAAGUCUGACCGCGCAACGCCGCGUGAGUGUAGAAGGUUUUCGGAUGGUAAAGCUCUGUUGUAAGGGAAGAACGGGUGUGAGAGUGGAAAGUUCACACUGUGACGGUAUCUUACCAGAAAGGGACGGCUAACUACGUG
rnacentral:rRNA from 1 species